CAGGACACUACUCAAGAGAUGACAUUGUGUGCCAUGGAUAUUCAUCCUGCAAAGAGCUCCCAUCCUGCUGCCAUGUCUGAGAAACGGAUGGAAGAAGCUUUGUGUCUACAGGACACUACUCAAGAGAUGACAUUGUGUGCCAUGGAUAUUCAUUCUGCAAAGAGCUCCCAUCCUGCUGCCAUGUCUGAGAAACGGAUGGA